UACGAAGGGUGCAAACGUUGCUCGGAAUUAUUGGGCGUAAAGCGCACGUAGGCGGUCUGUCGCGUCGGCUGUGAAAACUCGGGGCUCAACUCCGAGCUUGCAGUCGAUACGGGCAGGCUAGAGUUCGGCAGGGGAGACUGGAAUUCCUGGUGUAGCGGUGAAAUGCGCAGAUAUCAGGAGGAACACCGGUGGCGAAGGCGGGUCUCUGGGCCGAUACUGACGCUGAGGAGCGAAAGCGUGGGGAGCGAACAGG
rnacentral:rRNA from 1 species